rnacentral:rRNA from 1 species
GACGAACGCUGGCGGCGUGCCUAAUACAUGCAAGUCGUACGCUUCUUUUUCCACCGGAGCUUGCUCCACCGGAAAAAGAAGAGUGGCGAACGGGUGAGUAACACGUGGGUAACCUGCCCAUCAGAAGGGGAUAACACUUGGAAACAGGUGCUAAUACCGUAUAACAAUCGAAACCGCAUGGUUUUGAUUUGAAAGGCGCUUUCGGGUGUCGCUGAUGGAUGGACCCGCGGUGCAUUAGCUAGUUGGUGAGGUAACGGCUCACCAAGGCCACGAUGCAUAGCCGACCUGAGAGGGUGAUCGGCCACAUUGGGACUGAGACACGGCCCAAACUCCUACGGGAGGCAGCAGUAGGGAAUCUUCGGCAAUGGACGAAAGUCUGACCGAGCAACGCCGCGUGAGUGAAGAAGGUUUUCGGAUCGUAAAACUCUGUUGUUAGAGAAGAACAAGGAUGAGAGUAACUGUUCAUCCCUUGACGGUAUCUAACCAGAAAGCCACGGCUAACUACGUGCCAGCAGCCGCGGUAAUACGUAGGUGGCAAGCGUUGUCCGGAUUUAUUGGGCGUAAAGCGAGCGCAGGCGGUUUCUUAAGUCUGAUGUGAAAGCCCCCGGCUCAACCGGGGAGGGUCAUUGGAAACUGGGAGACUUGAGUGCAGAAGAGGAGAGUGGAAUUCCAUGUGUAGCGGUGAAAUGCGUAGAUAUAUGGAGGAACACCAGUGGCGAAGGCGGCUCUCUGGUCUGUAACUGACGCUGAGGCUCGAAAGCGUGGGGAGCAAACAGGAUUAGAUACCCUGGUAGUCCACGCCGUAAACGAUGAGUGCUAAGUGUUGGAGGGUUUCCGCCCUUCAGUGCUGCAGCUAACGCAUAAUGCACUACGC